GGCUCAAGGGAUCCUCUCACCUCGGCCUCCCAAAGCACUGGAAUUAACAGGAGUGAGCUACUGUGCCCAGCCAAGCUUGUUAUUUUCUUAGGGAGAGGACAUCUUAGUGGCAAGAGCACAUGUCUUGCAUUGGUCUCCAGCAGAUUUGAACUCAUCCUACCUCUGUGCCCUCAGGGAAUCUUCCCAACCUCUCUACAUGGAAGCAUCCUCAUCUGUGACAUGAAGCAAAGAACAGUGCCUUCCCGUGCAGGCUCUUUUUGGGAUUACACCAGAACAUAGGCAUGCUCAAUAAAUGGCAGCUAUUUGCAUUUACAGGCUCACAAUCUCUUCUCUAUAAAAUCCCAGAUCCAAAAAAAUUGAAAACCGAAAGGGUUUUGGUAACUCAUUUGACAACAAAGACUGGUCGGAUCUAAACUCAUUUGACAGUUAAAGCUGAACUGAAUUGCUACUAGACUAUUUAUGUUGUAUAGUUAUAGUUAAAUAUUUAGCUGCAGAAAUAUAAAUAUGUUUGAUUAGGGGAUGCUACUCCAGACCCCAAUAGGGGAUGUUACAUAAUAUGCAGUAUGUACACAUUUCUUCUCUGAAAUCUGGACAAUUCUAAAUCAUGUUGGUUUAAAAGGUUUCAGAAAAAAGAUUAUAGACCUAUACUGUGGUGAAUCUCAGGCCCACGUCCCUCAUCAGGAGCAGCAUGGCUCUUACAUGGAAUCCUGGCCUUAGAACCCAAGUAAAGCGUCAGCCUCAGAAUAAGGCUCCCCCUGUUCUGUAGAGCCUUGGCUCCAUCAGCCCUGCUCAGAAAAAUGGCAAGGAGGAGCCCGAUUUAUUAGCUGUUAAUGCUGUUGUGCAAUAAUCUUGAUCUCCAAGUUGCAAAAACCCAGUUGGAAGAGAGAAAUCUAAAGCGAUCAGAAUGACUACUAUACCAACUACAGAAAAUAUACGAGUUUCAUGAGAAGUUUCAGGAGUCAGACUGACACUAAAGUUGAUGGAAUUUUAAGAAAAAGAAUGCUACUUCUAUUUAGCAUUAAGUUAUUUUUCUUCUAUUGUAGUUUAAUUGUGGUCCUAUCUGAAGAAAAGCUGGACUUGAAGCCAGGAUUUGGGGCAUAAGGGUAUGACAGUGGCAAGCCCCUGUGUCAGCAGCUUUCACAGAACAAGGAGAAAGUAAGAUCAAGUUGCAACUGGAAAUCUGGGUGCACAGGUACCAGAAAGGAAGAUGCUCUAGCUGGGGAGUCAGGAUUUAGGGGGUCAGGUGGGAGGGGAGGGCAAGUGGGGAGGUAAGAAUGUUUAGCCAUGAAAUUUGGAAGAGGUGAACUUGGUAAAGAGGAAAGAGGUGUGUGUAGGGAUAGGCAGGGCCAUCCCUGUUGCUGUAAGUGGAUGUCUGUGCUGCACACAUACCUUACUGGUCCACAUUGUCCCCCUCACCGGGAACCUACUGGAAUAUCCACACCUGCACCUGCCAUGGUGAAGCCGGAAAUGCACUCUCCCCAGCCUUGGUAUAUCUUGAGCCCAGGACAGGGCACAGGUAACUAUCAUCCAAGCUCACUUUCAACACAUUGCUGUGCCCUCUUUCUGGGUUGCUGAGGUCCACCUGCAGGAGGCUAGGAGGGUGACCCCAGAGUCCCCGUGCUGGAGUGUGAAUCCCAACGCUGUAUGACCCUGGUCAGGUUACUUCAUAUCCCUGAGUUCAGUUUCCCUUUUCAUAAAAUGGGAUGAUAGCCACUGCACCUGACUCCUGGAGUUCCGUGAGGGUCAUAUGAGACAGUUCCUGUAAAGCUGAUGUGGGACCCAGCACAUGGUGAUUUCCCCAUCCGUGUACCCAGUGCCCACUGCUUGGUGGCAGCUCCAGGGCUUCCAGCCAUGCCAAGCAGCCCAUCUUGUGCAGAUAUCUGCAAUCCCAGGUAAGAUGAUUGAACCUUAAAUAAAUAACAGCAUUUUAUUUUAGGGUCUCCUGGCCAGUAGCUGUUCAUUUGGAGACUCAUUAUUUUCUUGAUCAUAUUAAUUUAAGCUCUCAGUCCCCAAAUCUCUCAGCUAAGUACCUUUGCUACUUCCUACUUUUUUACUCACAGCAAACUCAUGCCUGGCUCCUCUUUCCAGCCUUCAGUUGUAGUAGUAUCCAUGAGAGUCCCAGUUGUGCAGUUUUGCUUUGAAAGGAUUAACAGAGUGGAACCGGGACUGCAGUUACAGGCAACAAGGUGGCACCGCGUCUAAGAUGCCUGCUCUUUUGGGAUUCUUUCAACACUUCCAAGUUUUAUUGGCAUAAAUGAUUUUAAGAACCUUUUUUCCACUUCAGAUAAGAAGUUCUAAAACAGAGGCCGUUCGAACGAUACCCUUUAGGAUUAGAAAAAUGUUCACUUUGCCUUUUCUCUCCUUCUUUGUUACGUCUUGUUUCUUAUUUACACUGAGAGAGGUUUCUUUGACUCUCAGAGCACCCGCCUUUAUUUCAUGCUUCCAGUGCAGCUGCUUCAUCCAAAAUGAGGAAGGGUUGCAAUGGAAGAGAACUCAGAGGAGGGCUGGAGACAGGACCACUGUACCACCUGGGUCUUGGAAGCUGCCUUCCAAAGACUGGCCCAGACACAGCAGAAGGAUUACUUAACAUGGCCUUUAUCACUUCCGGGGCAUGUGGAAUGCUGAAUCCUAAUUCUAAAAUGAGUCCUGAAAUUGUUUCAGUAAAAUUCAUCAUUAAGGACUUAAAAAAUAGGAGAUGAGAAGUAGGAGAUGUGAAAGAAUAAAUCCAUGGAACACACAUGACAGAUUUAGCAAAAAUUAAAAAUUUCUUCACUUUGACACUUACCUGAAUGCCACCCAGAGAAAAUUCAGCACAUGUGCCAGGCAUAGUGACAAGCACAGUAUGACAUCAUUCUAUUGUGAAUCUCACAAGGUGCCUGUUAUGGCUCUGGUGACUUGCCUCAGACAGAAGAGAAAGCUGAGGCUCAGAGCAGUUAGGGAGGCAGGUCUGUGUUGGAGCCAGGAUGCAAAUACAGGGCUGUCUGUCCCCACAGCCUGUACCUUGCUGUGUGCCUUCCUCAGUCAGCACAAUUUUAUGGGACUAAGCGUUUUAGUCAUGAUACAACAGCAACAGUGAAUUCAGAAAUGUAACUAGAUGUUCUUUCUUCUUUUUAAAUUAAACUAUCUCAUAUUUGCUCCUGUUUGAUCCCUUUUGCAAUUUUUAUUCAUUUAUUUUCUUAUUCACUCAUUCACUCAUUUGGCGCUCUCUCUCUUUCACACACACACACACCCACACACACACACACACACACACACACACAUGAAUAACUACUAAAGUCAUUGUCCUUGAAGAAUUUAAAGUGGAAUCUGUUUAAAGUUUGCUCCAAGGUGUAGAUUCAUGCAUUUUACCGGAAGAUAAGAGGAAAAAGAAAAAGGAGAGAUAAAAGCAGUUUGGAGACAAAGGGAAGAGAUGACAUCUUACAAGUAUAAAGCCUGUUCAAUAAAAUGUGAUUUCAUGAUUGUCAUUUGACAACAUCCCUGGCUUUUGUUUGUUUGUUUCUGGGUAGAGACAAAUUUACUUUCCAUUUCUGAUAACAACGGAGUCAGUCUUCCCUGCUGCCGAGGAUUUUUUGAAACAGCGUGAAUACUGCUCCUUCGCAUUUCUGAGAGAGGGCAGAACCGGGUCAUCGUGUUGCUUGACAGAGGGCCAUGAUAACUGUCUACAGAUAUUUAAAGGGUGUAAAUGAAGACUUGAUUGCUUUAAGAUAUCUUGGUACUAACUUCGUUUAUUAAAGAUGCAAAAGAUUUGGGUGAGGUAUGUCAGAGCCCCAAUCCUUCAGAAACAUUUUACAGGGCUGGGGGUAUGACCCACCCAGUGAGUGGAACUUGAGCCCUGAGUGGAGAGGGCCUUUGGGGACUGUAUCAGGGAGGAGGACACAAAGCCGUGGAUGAGACCGGUCUCAUCGUGGCCUCUGCAAAGACCUCGCAAGGGAGGACAAUCACAACAUAAUGGCAUUCCAGAGCAGUGGAAGGUAUUCAUUAGCACUCCAGUGAGGAGAGAGAAAAAACAGAAGGAGGAACAGAGAGGAACAGACUCAAGCUCAGGGAAAUGGACAUUAUCCAGCUUGUUGACAGAGACCUCAUUCCGUUUCAUUCUUGACUCUGCCUGUCCACCUUUCUCGUGUGUCUCUGUUCUUUGCAUCUUCCAUGGAAACACGGGAUGAGAACAGGGUGAAGGCUCUCAGAGCAGUUAAAUUGUAUUCCUUUUUGGCAACUCUAGUGAAAUCCUGUCUGAUGAAUUUGGAACUAUUGAUUGCGAUAAAGUUAUUAAUAUUAAAGUUUCUUGGAACACUUGUGGAUAUCACUUAUCCAGAUAGCAGGUCCCCAGUUAAUAUAGAUGAUUGAAUUUGGGAGAUAAAUGCACUAUUCUGGGGGGCAGGAGGUGCUGUCGCAGAAGAAAAUGAAAACACGUGGAAAGGAAUCAUGUCAAGCUUAACAUCCAAGUUGAAGGCCAACUAUACGGAACUUAGAUUUUUUAAUAACCUGUAAAUGGUCUCAGAGGAAUGGUGAAUUGCUGAAGUCUUUUGAGUGGAGUAAGUCACAUAAUUAAGAGAUUAUUUGUAACAGACUCAGUCAACUACAGGGUAUUAUUCAAAGCAAAAACCAAACCAAACCAAACCCUCUGGAUCAGAAGGCACGAAGAUGUAGACAGCGUCUCUUAUGCCUUAUGUAGGAAGUGCCUAAUGAUUUCUUUGCAAAUUCUGACUAGUAUAAGUCCUAAACAAGAGGCAAAUGUCUUAGUGUCGUCCAAGUGCUAUAAAUGAAGUUAAAUGGGAACAUACGGUUAACAUUUCUAUAGGACUGUAUGUUUGCCAAAAGGUUAAUAAUCACUUGUUCCUUAAUAUUCAUAACAUCCCUCUAAAGCAGAAUUUCCCACACUGGGACUGGGAGGCCUCAGGGAUGGUGGAGGAAUUUCAAGAGGGUCAUGGGGAUUGGAGCUGUAGUAUUUCAAACAGCUCUCCAAUGGUGAUGGAAAAUUGCGGGCUGCAGGAGGGAGGUACGGAGUUCCCGGCACCCUGUGUUCACUGGGCAAGUCCCCCUGUGAGGCCUGGGGCCCCUUGUCGGGACCAGACCUGCUUCGUUGCAGGAAUCCUAGGAUUCUUUUUCCACUCUCCCGUCCUCAUGUCAGUGCCAGCUCCCACUCUAGGCUCUGGAGGCUUCGGGGCCUGUUUUGAAUCCCAGAUUUGAUCCUUGCUUGCUGGAUGACUCUGGCAAGUUUCUUACCCUCUCUGAGCCUUGAGUACAACACUGAAGAAUGUUGGAUGAUCACUUACAUGGUGCAGUUGUGAAUAAGAUAUCACCUUUAGCACAUUAUCAGCGUCCAAUGAUUAAUAGUAGUAGUUAUUUGUUCCCUUUGUCUUUCCAGGUACUUCUUGGAUGUUUCAGAAAACAACUACAAGAAUCUUUUCAUUUUGAGGACUGUCCUCUGAAUCUCUGAUGAAAGCAAAUAGGAGAUACAUACCCAUGGAACAAUACAAAUAAAUAGAUAACAUCA